rnacentral:rRNA from 1 species
AUACGUAGGGGGCAAGCGUUAUCCGGAUUUACUGGGUGUAAAGGGAGCGUAGACGGCUAAGCAAGUCUGAUGUGAAAGGCAGGGGCUCAACUCCUGGACUGCAUUGGAAACUGCUUUGCUUGAGUGCCGGAGAGGUAAGCGGAAUUCCUAGUGUAGCGGUGAAAUGCGUAGAUAUUAGGAGGAACACCAGUGGCGAAGGCGGCUUACUGGACGGUAACUGACGUUGAGGCUCGAAAGCGUGGGGAGC